AAAAGAAUUUAAGUUCCCCCUAAAGCCAACUCAGCCUCCUUAAGCAAAAGCCCUGCUUUAGAGUUACUCAAAUAGGGAACAGCCUAUUUGAGUCAGGAUACAGCCUCCACCAACGGGUAAUUUCUUUAUAUAAACAAGCAAGUGGGCCUAAGAGCAGCCACCUUCAACACAGCGUCACAGCUUACUUUAUGCAUUUUUACCAAUUCCUUAACCCACUAAAAACCCUUCCUCACUACUGGGUUACUCUAUACCCCUAUAGAACCAAUUAUGUUAAAACGAGUAACAAGAAGAAAGCCCUUCUCUUAAAUGCAAGUGUAAACCAGCAAGGACAAACCACUGUUAAUUAACUCACCUGAAAAUAAAUUAGUAACGCCCCCUAGAAAACCCUACUUUAUCAAACGUUAACCUUACACAAGAGCAUUGCAAGAAAGAUUAAAAGAAAAAGAAGGAACUCGGCAAACAUUAACCUCGCCUGUUUACCAAAAACAUCGCCUCUUGCCCCCCCCCCAUAAGAGGUCCAGCCUGCCCAGUGACCAUGUUCAACGGCCGCGGUAUCCUGACCGCGCGAAGGUAGCGUAAUCACUUGUUCUUUAAAUGAGGACUAGUAUGAACGGCAUCACGAAGGUUACACUGUCUCCUUUUUCCACUCAGUGAAACUAAUCUCCCCGUGAAGAAGCGGGCAUAAAAAUAUAAGACGAGAAGACCCUAUGGAGCUUUAAACUCACUGACAAUUGCUACACCACCUUACAUAACCUAAAAGUAUCGCAAUCUGAUCACGCGUUUUCGGUUGGGGCGACCGCGGGGAAAAAGACAACCCCCACACUGAACAGGGCCAACCCCUGAGCAAAAAACCACAAUUUUACGCACCAACAAACUGACAGCUUUUGACCCAAUAUUUUUUGAUCAAUGAACCAAGUUACCCUAGGGAUAACAGCGCAAUCCACUUCAAGAGCCCUUAUCGACAAGUGGGUUUACGACCUCGAUGUUGGAUCAGGGUACCCCGGUGGCGCAGCCGCUACCAAAGGUUCGUUUGUUCAACGAUUAAAACCCU
rnacentral:rRNA from 1 species